UACGUAGGGGGCAAGCGUUGUUCGGAAUUACUGGGCGUAAAGCGCGUGUAGGCGGCCCUGCAAGUCGGAUGUGAAAUCCCACGGCUCAACCGUGGAAGUGCAUUCGAAACUGCUGAGCUUGAGUACUUAAGAGGAUCGCGGAAUUCCCGGUGUAGCAGUGAAAUGCGUAGAGAAUGCGGAGGAACACCGAUGGCGAAGGCAGCCCCCUGGGCUAGCACUGACGCUCAGGCACGAAAGCGUGGGGAGCAAACAG
rnacentral:rRNA from 1 species